CAGUCCCGCGGUAAUACGGAGGGGGCUAGCGUUGUUCGGAAUUACUGGGCGUAAAGCGCACGUAGGCGGCUUUGUUAAGUUGGAUGUGAAAUCCCCGGGCUCAACCUGGGAACUGCAUCCAAAACUGGCAGGCUAGAGUAGGGCAGAGGGUGGUGGAAUUUCCUGUGUAGCGGUGAAAUGCGUAGAUAUGCGGAGGAACACCGAUGGCGAAGGCAGCCCCCUGGGCCAAUACUGACGCUCAUGCACGAAAGCGUGGGGAGCAAACAGGAUUAGAUACCCCCGUAGUCCCUGUCUCUUAUAC
rnacentral:rRNA from 1 species